rnacentral:rRNA from 1 species
AUUGAACGCUGGCGGCAGGCCUAACACAUGCAAGUCGAGCGGAUGAGAAGAGCUUGCUCUUCGAUUCAGCGGCGGACGGGUGAGUAAUGCCUAGGAAUCUGCCUGAUAGUGGGGGACAACGUCUCGAAAGGGACGCUAAUACCGCAUACGUCCUACGGGAGAAAGCAGGGGACCUUCGGGCCUUGCGCUAUCAGAUGAGCCUAGGUCGGAUUAGCUUGUUGGUGAGGUAAUGGCUCACCAAGGCGACGAUCCGUAACUGGUCUGAGAGGAUGAUCAGUCAAACUAGAACUGAGACACGGUCCAGACUCCUACGGGAGGCAGCAGGGGGGAAUAUUGGACAAUGGGCGAAAGCCUGAUCCAGCCAUGCCGCGGGUGUGAAGAAGGUCUUCGGAUUGUAAAGCACUUUAAGUUGGGAGGAAGGGCAGUCAGCGAAUACCUGGUUGUUUUGACGUUACCGACAGAAUAAGCACCGGCUAACUCUGUGCCAGCCGCCGCCGUAAGAC